rnacentral:rRNA from 1 species
GUAGGGUGCGAGCGUUAAUCGGGAAUUACUGGGGCGUAAAGCGUGCGCAGGCGGUGAUGUAAGACCGAUGUGAAAUCCCCGGGGCUCAACCUGGGGAACUGCAUUGGUGACUGCAUUGCUCGAGUAUGGCAGAGGGGGGUGGAAUUCCACGUGUAGCAGUGAAAUGCGUAGAGAUGUGGAGGAACACCGAUGGCGAAGGCAGCCCCCUGGGCCAAUACUGACGCUCAUGCACGAAAGCGUGGGGAGCAAACAGGAUUAGAUACCCUGGUAGUCCACGCCCUAAACGAUGUCAACUGGUUGUCGGGCCUUCAUUGGCUUGGUAACGUAGCUAACGCGUGAAGUUGACCGCCUGGGGAGUACGGUCGCAAAGAUUA